AUUGAACGCUGGCGGAAUGCUUUACACAUGCAAGUCGAACGGUAGAGGGGGCAACCCCUCGAGAGUGGCGAACGGGUGAGUAAUAUAUCGGAACGUGCCCAGUCGUGGGGGAUAACGUAGCGAAAGUUACGCUAAUACCGCAUACGAUCUAAGGAUGAAAGCGGGGGAUCGCAAGACCGCGCGCGAGUGGAGCGGCCGAUAUCAGAUUAGGAAGUUGGUGGGGUAAAGGCUCACCAAGCCAACGAUCUGUAGCUGGUCUGAGAGGACGACCAGCCACACUGGAACUGAGACACGGUCCAGACUCCUACGGGAGGCAGCAGUGGGGAAUUUUGGACAAUGGACGCAAGUCUGAUCCAGCCAUUCCGCGUGCAGGAUGAAGGCCCUCGGGUUGUAAACUGCUUUUGUACGGAACGAAAAGGUCUCUCUUAAUACGGGGGACUCAUGACGGUACCGUAAGAAUAAGCACCGGCUAACUACGUGCCAGCAGCCGCCGUAA
rnacentral:rRNA from 1 species